AAAGUACUCCCUCCGUCCCAAAAUUCUUGUAUUAGAUUUGUCUAGAUACAGAUGUAUCAAGUCACAUUUUAGUAUUAGAUACAUCUGUAUCUAGACAAAUCUAAGACAAGAAAUUUGGGACAGAGGGAGUAGUUG
rnacentral:pre_miRNA from 1 species